AGCUUUGCGCAGUGGCGAUAUCGUAACCAAUGAGGUACAUCCGAGGUGCGAUUAUUGCUAGUUGAAAAAAAAACAGCUAACAUGGAUAUCAAAAGAAAGGGCUUGAUUAGUAGAAUACAGUUAUUUAUGAAAAAUGCAAAUCCAA